GAAUGGACCAGUGCAGAUGCACAGUCCUUAAAAUGGGAAGAGGAGGAGCCUGAGGAGUCUGUGAUAACUGACGAGGUCAGAGAACUGCAUCGGGAAGGUCUGAGCUAGGACUGAAAACGGAAUGUGUCAUAAACUAAGAAGUCAAGUGUCCUCUGAGCCAAGUCAGAAGUGGAUUGGGCUGAAUGUCCCCCAGAAGGCAUGAAGCCUAGUCAUGACUUUAGCUGGUGACAUCUGUCUCAGAGCCUGUACUCCAGAAAGUAAGCAAAAAUCUCUACACAGCCAUGAAAUGCCAUCUGCUCGAAACCACACAGACCAGCACACCAUGUUUCUCUGAGGUAGGAUGCAUCAUGGGUACAUUUUCUGUCUUAUGCACUUUUGUUCUUUUCGAUUUAUCUAGAAUUUAAUGCUAAACACUAUUUUGGGGGCUAAUGAAGUGGUCAACUUGAAAAGACAGUUGCCAACACAUUUAACAACCUGAGUUCAAUCCCUUGGACCCAUGUGGUAGAAGGCAAGAACAAACUCUGUCUGCUGUCCUCUGAUGGAUCCAUGCAAGCUGUGGCAGCAGUUAGAAAGUGGACAAAUAAAUACAAUACUCCAAUGAGUCUACUGAAAAGUCUUCUGUCAGUUUUUAGGAGAAUUCUUUAAAUAAGAAAGAUUUCAACCCCUGCACCUGCGUGCAUUUCAGCAAGAACCACAAUAACCAAAACUAUAAUGGUAUCUCAGCUUCCUGCCAAUCCCUUAGGAAAAGGGAUGACCAGAACCACUUACCCAUGUCCCUUAGAGUUCAAUUUCACAAAUCGCUAAUUUGAGGUAACCUUGGAAAGUUCAGAAAAUCCUCUGAUCUCCAACUAUAUAAUCUGAAUAAUAAUACAGGGGCUAAGGGUAUACACCUCAAUGAUACGCCAUGUAUCCAGCAUCUUUGGGGCCCAGGGAUAAAUCCUCAGCUCUAAGUGAUAAGGACACAGAUCUACCUGUCCCACAAGAUCCUUACAAGAAUCAAAGAAGACAAUGAAGAGGACAUCAUGCUGCAUGAUAGCCACAGCUCUGAUUGACAGCAGGACAAUGUGUAAGAUGCUUUGGAAAAUCAGCGUUCAGCUUUACCUCCUGUCCUAGUUUGCUUUCUAUGGCUG
rnacentral:sRNA from 1 species